rnacentral:rRNA from 1 species
UACGUAGGGGGCAAGCGUUGUCCGGAUUUAUUGGGCGUAAAGAGCGUGUAGGCGGCCAGAUAGGUCGGUUGUGAAAACUGGAUGGCUCAACCUCCAGACGUCGACCGAAACCAUCUGGCUAGAGUCCGGAAGAGGAGAGUGGAAUUCCUGGUGUAGCGGUGAAAUGCGCAGAUAUCAGGAAGAACACCCGUGGCGAAGGCGGUUCUCUGGGACGGUACUGACGCUGAGACGCGAAAGCGUGGGGAGCGAACAGG